AGGGAAACGACUUUGUAUGUUA
rnacentral:siRNA from 1 species